rnacentral:rRNA from 1 species
UGGGGAAUAUUGGACAAUGGGCGAAAGCCUGAUCCAGCCAUGCCGCGUGUGUGAAGAAGGUCUUCGGAUUGUAAAGCACUUUAAGUUGGGAGGAAGGGCAGUAAAUUAAUACUUUGCUGUUUUUGACGUUACCGACAGAAUAAGCACCGGCUAACUCUGUGCCAGCAGCCGCGGUAAUACAGAGGGUGCAAGCGUUAAUCGGAAUUACUGGGCGUAAAGCGCGCGUAGGUGGUUCGUUAAGUUGGAUGUGAAAUCCCCGGGCUCAACCUGGGAACUGCAUUCAAAACUGACGAGCUAGAGUAUGGUAGAGGGUGGUGGAAUUUCCUGUGUAGCGGUGAAAUGCGUAGAUAUAGGAAGGAACACCAGUGGCGAAGGCGACCACCUGGACUGAUACUGACACUGAGGUGCGAAAGCGUGGGGAGCA